AUGUCUGUCAUUGUGUCUAUUUUUGGAUCGUUCAUUGUCUGUCUUUUUAUCUUAUUGUCUGUCGUUCUAUCAUUCUGUCCGUCGUUCUAUCAUUCAGUCCGUCGUUCUAUCAUUCUGUCCGUCGUUCUAUCAUUCAGUGUGUCGUUCUAUCAUUCCGUCUGUCGUUCUAUCAUUCUGUCUGUCUUUCUAUCAUUCCGUCUGUCGCUCUAUCAUUCUGUCCGUCGUUCUAUCAUUCUGUCUGUCGUUCUAUCAUUCAAUCUGUCGUAUCAUUGUCCGUCGUUCUAUCAUUCAGUCUGUCAUUCUAUCAUUCUGUCUGACGUUCUUUCUACCAUUCUGUCUGUUGUUCUAUCACUCUGUCGUUCUAUCAUUCUGUCUGUCGUUCUAUCAUUCAGUCUGUCGUUCUAUCAUUCUGUCUGUCGUUCUAUCAUUCCGUCUGUCAUUCUAUCAUUCAGUCUGUCGUUCUCUCAUUCUGUCUGUCGUUCUAUCAUUCUGUCCGUCGUUCUAUCAUUCAGUCCAUCGUUCUAUCAUUCUGUCUGUCGUUCUAUCAUUCUGUCUGUCGUUCUCUCAUUCUGUCUGUCGUUCUAUCAUUCUGUCCGUCGUUCUAUCAUUCAGUCCGUCGUUCUAUCAUUCUGUCUGUCGUUGUAUCAUUCUGUCCGUCGUUCUAUCAUUCAGUCUGUCAUUCUAUCAUUCUGUCUGACGUUCUUUCUACCAUUCUGUCUGUUGUUCUAUCACUCUGUCUGUCGUUCUAUCAUUCUGUCUGUCGUUCUAUCAUUCAGUCUGUCGUUCUAUCAUUCUGUCUGUCGUUCUAUCAUUCCGUCUGUCGUUCUAUCAUUCCGUCUGUCGUUCUAUCAUUCAGUCUGUCGUUCUCUCAUUCUGUCUGUCGUUCUAUCAUUCUGUCCGUCGUUCUAUCAUUCAGUCCAUCGUUCUAUCAUUCUGUCUGUCGUUCUAUCAUUCUGUCUGUCGUUCUCUCAUUCUGUCUGUCGUUCUAUCAUUCUGUCCGUCGUUCUAUCAUUCAGUCCGUCGUUCUAUCAUUCUGUCUGUCGUUCUAUCAAUCAGUCUGUUGUUCUCUCAUACUGUCUGUCGUUCUAUCAUCCCGUCCGUCGUUCUAUCAUUCCGUCUGUCGUUCUAUCAUUCCGUCUGUCG
rnacentral:lncRNA from 1 species